rnacentral:rRNA from 1 species
CCUACGGGCGGCAGCAGUGAGGAAUAUUGGUCAAUGGGCGCGAGCCUGAACCAGCCAAGUAGCGUGAAGGAUGACUGCACUACGGGUUGUAAACUUCUUUUAUAAAGGAAUAAAGUGAGGCACGUGUGCCUUUUUGUAUGUACUUUAUGAAUAAGGAUCGGCUAACUCCGUGCCAGCAGCCGCGGUAAUACGGAGGAUCCGAGCGUUAUCCGGAUUUAUUGGGUUUAAAGGGAGCGUAGAUGGGUUGUUAAGUCAGUUGUGAAAGUUUGCGGCUCAACCGUAAAAUUGCAAUUGAUACUGGCAGCCUUGAGUACAGGUGAGGUAGGCGGAAUGCGUGGUGUAGCGGUGAAAUGCUUAGAUAUCACGAAGAACUCCGAUUGCGAAGGCAGCUUACUAAACUGACACUGACAUUGAGGCUCGAAAGUGUGGGUAUCAAACAGGAUUAGAUACCCUGGUAGUC